AUUGAACGCUGGCGGCAGGCUUAACACAUGCAAGUCGAGCGGAUGACGGGAGCUUGCUCCUUGAUUCAGCGGCGGACGGGUGAGUAAUGCCUAGGAAUCUGCCUGGUAGUGGGGGACAACGUUUCGAAAGGAACGCUAAUACCGCAUACGUCCUACGGGAGAAAGCAGGGGACCUUCGGGCCUUGCGCUAUCAGAUGAGCCUAGGUCGGAUUAGCUAGUAAGUGAGGUAAUGGCUCACCUAGGCGACGAUCCGUAACUGGUCUGAGAGGAUGAUCAGUCACACUGGAACUGAGACACGGUCCAGACUCCUACGGGAGGCAGCAGUGGGGAAUAUUGGACAAUGGGCGAAAGCCUGAUCCAGCCAUGCCGCGUGUGUGAAGAAGGUCUUCGGAUUGUAAAGCACUUUAAGUUGGGAGGAAGGGCAGUAAGUUAAUACCUUGCUGUUUUGACGUUACCGACAGAAUAAGCACCGGCUAACUCUGUGCCAGCAGCCGCGGUAA
rnacentral:rRNA from 1 species